CGUGUGUAAGUGGGCAGAGUGCGACAAGGGUAGCCAUAUUGAAUUUUGCCGUUGUCCAAGGCGUUUGCUGCUUUGUGAUAUGAGUUUUUGAGUGUGCCGCAUUUUAAAGAAAUCUGGUCAACGUUGUUUAUGUGCAUAUUGCCAGAAGUUCGUGACCCUGAAGAUAAAGUAAAGCCUGGCUCACCAAGUGACAAGCUGAAUUCAGCUGCAAAGAAGAAGGUAGUGAUGGCACAACUUUACAAGGGUAAACCAGAAGCCCGUGAUUUAUCUGAGUUCGACAUAGAGCCAGGUAUUGCAUGAUUUAACUUCAAAGUACUUGUAGAACUGGACGACUCCAAUUAAGUUUUUUAAAUUUCAACAUACCCUCAGACAGUGGAACCGUUGAGCCUCAAAACAAGCAGUGCCGAAGGGAAAGAAGAGGCAAUUUUCUGAAUCAGUUUCCAGAGACUGGAGAAGCUACCGACUUCAGGCCGCAGAGGAGAAAUUUGGUGUCUGCCAAAUGCAGUCAUCAAUUUUGGUAAUGAAUGGUGGUGUAAUAGCCCAAGGAGGGAAAUCAAGAUAUCAGUAUAUGACUCAGCACCGUCUGGAGAUCAGUGAAGACUGAAGAAAGAGACAAGUAUGUGAAAAAGACACAACGUGAAGAGGAAGGGCACAAGAAAAAAUAUCCUGGUAAGUGAUUUGCCUCAAUAUUCUCUAAGUCUCAUCAUGUGUAAUAUAAAGCUUUUGUCCUGUUACAUUCCUCUGCUUUCUCCUGCAUUCCUUUCCAGUCCUGUAUGCUGUUGAAUGAUGCAUCAAGACUGACUUUAAUGCCAUCUCCCACUAAUGCACAUAAAUAGUCAAUUGUGAACCUUCUCCUUUAUAUGCUGUACUGAACUUAACAUAUUUGCAUCAAAAUGUUAGUAUUUCGAGGGUAGACAUGAUACACUGAGACAGACUUCCUGUUCCUUCGUGACGAGCUGUGCAUUCCUGCACGGUGUCAGUGCUUGAUAAUUGGUCGUGUUUGGAAGGAUUUCUGCACCCAGGUUGUCAAGGGAUUUUAAAUGCCUGCAGAGCCACUAAACGAGCUGUUUUGCUCAAAAAGUUGGUACCACAAGGACAUGAAGUGGAAAAGCAAAAUGUGUACUUACCAGCACAAUGCAAGAAGACAAAUUCUUUGCAUUGUAGUGACAUCUCUAAGUUUUAAAGUGUACUGUAGCCGUUAAUCUUUUGGGACGGGCGCACUGGUGGAACCAUGUGUGGUGUGCCACUUGUAGUUGGAUAGCUGUGUGGGAAGGUGAGCUGCUACCACCAACUGGGUAAAGGUGGCCGAAGCCGUCAGCAGUGAUGGGUAAAGAUGGGCGCUGGUGAAUUGCCUGCUAGCGAUUCUGGAGGUAGUCGUUGGUGAUGUAGCCUCACCUUGGUAGUAGUUGGGCACCACCCCGGUCGGGGAACAUGAGACUAUCAUCACAUGGCCCAUUAAUUGGGCCUUGGCUUCAACACAGAUGGUCAACAAAACCGUAACAAACCCUUUACAACACUCACUUUAUUGAUUUUUACAUAUUACUUGUAUUACGUAGUGUAGUGCAAUUGCGCUCGGGACCUGUAUUGGUCCUUUGUUC